GCGUCGGUGGUAGAGUGGUCAAUUACAACAGACUGUAAAUCUGUCGGGCUUUGCCCUACGAAGGUUCGAAUCCUUCCCGGCGCA
rnacentral:tRNA from 1 species